rnacentral:tRNA from 1 species
GGAGUUGUGGCUCAGUGGUAGAGCACAUGCCUGGCAUAUGUGAGGCCCUGGGUUCGAUUCUCAGCAUUGCAA